ACGACCGGCGCACGGGUGCGUAACGCGUAUAGAACCUACCAUAAACAGGGAGAUACCCUUUGGAAACGAAGACUAAUACCCCAUAGCGAUAUUUGAUGGCCUCCUUAAAUAUUUAAAGAUUUAUUGGUUUAUGAUGGCUAUGCGUUCUAUUAGUUAGUUGGUAAGGUAACGGCUUACCAAGACAUCGAUAGAUAGGGGUCCUGAGAGGGAGAACCCCCACACUGGUACUGAGACACGGACCAGACUCCUACGGGAGGCAGCAGUGAGGAAUAUUGGGCAAUGGAGGCAACUCUGACCCAGCCAUGCCGCGUGAAGGAUGACUGCCCUAUGGGUUGUAAACUUCUUUUAUAGAGGAAGAAUUGUGUUUACGUGUAAACAUUUGACGGUACUCUACGAAUAAGGA
rnacentral:rRNA from 1 species